ensembl:snRNA RNU6-455P RNA, U6 small nuclear 455, pseudogene
GUGCUCACUUCAGCAGCACAUAUACUAAAAUUGAAAUGAUACAGGGAAAAUUAGCAUGGCCCCUGCACAAGGAUGACACAUAAAUUUGUGAAGCAUUCCAUGUUGUU